rnacentral:rRNA from 1 species
UCCGGGGGGUUGAUCCUGCCGGAGGUCACUGCUAUUGGGAUUCGAUUAAGCCAUGCGAGUCGAGAGGGUUCGGCCCUCGGCUGACGGCUCAGUAACACGUGGAUAAUCUGCCCUUAGGUGGAGGAUACCCUCGGGAAACUGAGAAUAAUACUCCAUAGGUCUAGGAUGCUGGAAUGCACUUAGACUGAAAAUUCCGGUGCCUAAGGAUGAGUCUGCGGACUAUCAGGUUGUAGUCAGGGUAAAGACCUGACUAGCCUAUGACGGAUACGGGUUGUGAGAGCAAUAACCCGGAGAUGAUAUCUGAGACACGAUAUCAGGCCCUACGGGGCGCAGCAGGCGCGAAAACUUCACAAUGUGCGAAAGCACGAUGAGGGAAUCCCAAGUGCUUGCACGUAAGUGCAAGCUGUUUCUAUGUCUAAAACACAUAGAGAGUAAGGGCUGGGUAAGACGGGUGCCAGCCGCCGCGGUAAUACCUGCAGCUCAAGUGGUGGCCGCUAUUAUUGGGCCUAAAACGUCCGUAGCCGGUUUAAUAAAUGCCUGGGUAAAUUGUAUAGCUUAACUAUACGAAUUCCGGGUAGACUGAUAAACUUGAGACCGGGGGAAGUUAGAGGUACUCCUGGGGUAGAGGUGAAACUCUGUAAUCCUAGGGGGACCACCGGUGGCGAAGGCGUCUGACUAAAACGGGUCUGACGGUGAGGGACGAAGCCCUGGGGCGCAAACGGGAUUAGAUACCCCGGUAGUCCAGGGUGUAAACGCUGCUUGCUUGAUGUUAGUCGGGCUUCGAGCCCGAUUAGUGUCGGAGAGAAGUUGUUAAGCAAGCUGCCUGGGAAGUACGGCCGCAAGACUGAAACUUAAAGGAAUUGGCGGGGGAGCACAGCAACGGGUGGAGCGUGCGGUUUAAUUGGAUUCAACGCCGGGA